rnacentral:miRNA from 1 species
GGGCGAACAUAUCCGAUUUCCGGUCCACCCCCUAUACGUCAUCAUUGAGUAAACUUUGACCCGGAACCUCACAGCCAGCAGACACAUUCCUCCUAGGAAGUGUCUGCUGACUGUGAGGUUCCGGGUAAAAGUUUACUCAAUUAUGACGUAUAGGGGACGGACCGGAAAUCGGAUAUGUUCGCCC